AUACGUAUGUCGCGAGCGUUAUCCGGAAUUAUUGGGCAUAAAGGGCAUCUAGGCGGCCUUUCAAGUCAGGGGUGAAAACCUGCGGCUCAACCGCAGGCCUGCCUUUGAAACUGAUAGGCUGGAGUACCGGAGAGGUGGACGGAACUGCACGAGUAGAGGUGAAAUUCGUAGAUAUGUGCAGGAAUGCCGAUGAUGAAGAUAGUUCACUGGACGGUAACUGACGCUGAAGUGCGAAAGCCGGGGGAGCGAACAGGAUUAGAUACCCUGGUAGUCCCGGCCGUAAACGAUGAUUACUGGGUGUGGGCAGGAAGACUGUCUGUGCCGAAGCGAAUGCGAUAAGUAAUCCGCCUGGGGAGUACGGCCGCAAGGCUGAAACUCAAAGGAAUUGACGGGGACCCGCACAAGCGGUGGAGCAUGUGGUUUAAUUCGACGCAACGCGAGGAACCUUACCAGAUCUUGACAUCCCG
rnacentral:rRNA from 1 species